GAACUAUAGUUUCUUAUCCUGCAACUGUAAAAACAUGGAUCAUAUAGAACAGGGCAAUUCCCACCACAGUAUGGCAUUAAAAUUAGUAAAGAAACUUAAAAGAAACCUACACAAUUAUAUUGAACAGAGCAAACUUACUAAACAAACGCGAAACUAUUGCUGCUAUAAGAUUGUUAUCUACAAAAUAAACUCAGAGCUAGCCUCAACUCAACUAUUACAAUCAUCUAAUUCCACAGGAAAUUACAGGCCGUGCACGCUCACACAUGAAACACAACACACGAAAUUCUAGAAGACAAGGUCAGUCCAGCAACUACUACUAUCUCGACUGUAAGAAGGUCGCCUCAUUUUGAACACUCACUUUAGUCACAGAAGCAGGCUUCACCUUUGGACGCCUACCCCUUGGUCUCCCACUCCCUGCUGUGCCUCUAUUGUGGUACAGUGGUAGUGGCAGUCCCAUUCAUUUCCUCCAUGGACUGUGCCGUCUAGCCCGACCUCCCUCUAGGCUUUCCACUUCCGGUAGGUGCAGGCUUUGGCUUCACUGGCUUUGGGGGUGCAUUUGGGUCCUUUGGUGGACGGCCCCUGGUUCUGGCAGGGGAAACAACAGUGCCUGGUGGCAAUGGAACCUUAGGCUUAGGAGGCCUGCCUCGGCCACGCUUUGGAGGUGCAUUUGGAUCUGCUUUCAUGUAGCUGUUAGCAGACUAGCUCUCCUGUACUCUUCAUUCUGUUGAGGUGGUGGGAGAGAAGAGUUGUGUGGCCUGCUGGCAAUUCCCUAUAUUUUGAUUCAAUGUACUUUGAUAUAGGUGUCUUGUUGGAGCCAUUCCUCUCAUCCAGUGCUGCGAUUGCUGCCAAAUCGUCUACACAAAAACACCACAAUUCAAAAUAAAAUUAGACUCAUUUUGAGAUUUUGAAUUCAAAUGGGUUUCAGUUGGAUUUUUCAAAACACGAAUAGGCUAAAUAUGCAAAAUAAUCCACUUUAAGUUGAAAUUUAAUUAGUUAUAUAAGGCAUUCCAACGUCGAACCUUUUAUGUUGCUGAAAAACAACGCAGAUAUUGGGCACUGCCAGGUAAAAUCUAAAUGGAUUGGAGAAUAGCUAAUUAGCCAUAAUGAACAUGCAAAAUGAGAAGAAGUUUCUCUCAAAUUUCACGAAAACAUCUUUUUCUAUCUUUUUUCUCUUGAAAAGAAAAAAAACAACAGAGACUUACUGCUUCAAUAGCCAUGAAAAUGACC
rnacentral:misc_RNA from 1 species